rnacentral:rRNA from 1 species
AUUGAACGCUGGCGGCGUGGAUUAGGCAUGCAAGUCGAGCGAGAACCGUAGCAAUACGGGGACAGCGGCGAAAGGGACAGUAAUGUGUAGGUACCUACCUCCGGGUUCGGGAUAGCUGCGGGAAACUGCAGGUAAUACCGAAUAACGUCUCCGGACCAAAGGUGUGAUUCCACCUGGAGAGGGGCCUGCAUCCUAUUAGCUUGUUGGCGGGGUAACGGCCCACCAAGGCGACGAUGGGUAGCGGGUGUGAGAGCACGACCCGAGUCAUUGGGACUGAGACACUGCCCAGACACCUACGGGUGGCUGCAGGCGUGAAUCGUCUGCAAUGGGCGCAAGCCUGACCGAGCGACGCCGCGUGCGGGAUGAAGGCCUUCGGGUUGUAAACCGCUGUCGUAGAGGAGGAAAUGCAGGGGGGUUCUCCCCUCUGUUUGACCUAUUCUAGGAGGAAGUACGGGCUAAGUUCGUGCCAGCAGCCGCCGUAA